rnacentral:rRNA from 1 species
GGGGAUGAAGGCCUUCGGGUUGUAAACCUCUUUCAGUAGGGAAGAAGCGAAAGUGACGGUACCUGCAGAAGAAGCGCCGGCUAACUACGUGCCAGCAGCCGCGGUAAUACGUAGGGCGCAAGCGUUAUCCGGAAUUAUUGGGCGUAAAGAGCUCGUAGGCGGUUUGUCGCGUCUGCCGUGAAAGUCCGGGGCUUAACCCCGGAUCUGCGGUGGGUACGGGCAGACUAGAGUGAUGUAGGGGAGACUGGAAUUCCUGGUGUAGCGGUGAAAUGCGCAGAUAUCAGGAGGAACACCGAUGGCGAAGGCAGGUCUCUGGGCAUUAACUGACGCUGAGGAGCGAAAGCAUGGGGAGCGAACAGGAUUAGAUACCCUGGUAGUCCAUGCCGUAAACGUUGGGCACUAGGUGUGGGGGACAUUCCACGUUUUCCGCGCCGUAGCUAACGCAUUAAGUGCCCCGCCUGGGGAGUACGGCCGCAAGGCUAAAACUCAAAGGAAUUGACGGGGGCCCGCACAAGCGGCGGAGCAUGCGGAUUAAUUCGAUGCAACGCGAAGAACCUUACCAAGGCUUGACAUGAACUGGAACAGCGCAGAGAUGUGUUGGCCGCUUGCGGCCGGUUUACAGGUGGUGCAUGGUUGUCGUCAGCUCGUGUCGUGAGAUGUUGGGUUAAGUCCCGCAACGAGCGCAACCCUCGUUCUAUGUUGCCAGCGCGUUAUGGCGGGGACUCAUAGGAGACUGCCGGGGUCAACUCGGAGGAAGGUGGGGACGACGUCAAAUCAUCAUGCCCCUUAUGUCUUGGGCUUCACGCAUGCUACAAUGGCCGGUACAAAGGGUUGCGAUACUGUGAGGUGGAGCUAAUCCCAAAAAGCCGGUCUCAGUUCGGAUUGAGGUCUGCAACUCGACCUCAUGAAGUCGGAGUCGCUAGUAAUCGCAGAUCAGCAACGCUGCGGUGAAUACGUUCCCGGGCCUUGUACACACCGCCCGUCAAGUCACGAAAGUUGGUAACACCCGAAGCCGGUGGCCUAACCCCC